AUUGAACGCUGGCGGCAUGCUUUACACAUGCAAGUCGAACGGUAACAGGCCUUCGGGCGCUGACGAGUGGCGAACGGGUGAGUAAUGCAUCGGAACGUGCCCAGUCGUGGGGGAUAACUAUCCGAAAGGAUAGCUAAUACCGCAUACGAUCUGCGGAUGAAAGCGGGGGACCUUCGGGCCUCGCGCGAUGGGAGCGGCCGAUGGCAGAUUAGGUAGUUGGUGGGGUAAAGGCUCACCAAGCCAUCGAGCUGGAGCUGGGCUGAGAGGACGACCAGCCACACGUGGACUGAGACACGGCCCAGACUCCUGCGGGAGGCAGCAGUGGGGAAUUUUGGACAGUGGGCGCCAGCCUGAUCCAGCAAUGCCGCGUGCAGGAAGAAGGCCUUCGGGUUGUAAACUGCUUUUGUACGGAACGAAACGGCUCUGGUUAAUACCCGGGGCUAAUGACGGUACCGUAAGAAUAAGCACCGGCUAACUACGUGCCAGCCGCCGCGGUAAUAC
rnacentral:rRNA from 1 species